UAAUCAGAGAGUUUGAUCCUGGCUCAGGAUGAACGCUGGCGGCGUGCUUAACACAUGCAAGUCGAACGGGAAAUAUUUCAUUGAGACUUCGGUGGAUUUGAUCUAUUUCUAGUGGCGGACGGGUGAGUA
rnacentral:rRNA from 1 species